CUCUCAUCCUCACAUAAACACACCCUAGAUCUUUCUACGAACCACAGGCACACAAACCUGCUCUGGAUCCGAGGUCAAAUGAGAAGGUUUUUAUGGUUCAUAUAGUAUGAAAUAGAGGAUAAAGAUCAAAAAACAGCUGAUAUAUGAACAAAAGCAGCAAGAAGACACAUGAGGCACGAGCUAAAGGUGAACAUUUGCACAAUUAUACUAAAAAGCAUUUUACUUGAUAAAAAGCAUGAACUAUCAAACAGACGACAGAAGGCAUACGACAGAUUGUGUGUAACAGGUUAUUCAGCAAAGUUUUAUUCAUGUUGAUCAUUUAAAGGCUUUAGAAAAGUGAUAUGCUACGUUUUAUGUGGUUAAACAAACAAAUUCCCAUCCCGUACAGGCAGAGUUGACAGUGUAUAGAAGCAACCUGGAACAUCACAGAUAAGACUGAAGGUCGUCUUCUAAGAUAAUGAGGCCGAUGUUAUAAGAAUGGUAACUCCUCACAUUCCUGUGUUAGGCGUAUCCAAACUGCAUUAGCUGUGAAAGUGCCUCCCAAUCCCAACUUUCUCUGUGGAUCUGUCUCUCUCUUUGCGUGUGAGAGCGUGUAGAGAUUUGUCUGUUUGUCUGUCUGUCUGUCACACCUGGAGAGGAAUGUGUGCACAUCUGCUUUGAUCCACCUGAAUUGCAGACACACCCUGUCCUUCCCGACCAGAACAUCACAGACACCUGAGCUCUUUCUCUCCCGCAAGAUGCGUCUUUACUGGAAGCCGUGAUUAAGUGGCUUUCCAUUCGCUCAUAAUUCCAAGAGCUAGGAGCAUUGAUACUGAGCAGUGUUGGCUCUGUGCUUAUCUAAAUGUGAUGUGAUAGCACUGGAUUUGGGGAAAUCUCAGUUUAGCUGGAGAUUCACAACAGAACGUCAACAGCAGCAGCUGAGAUCUAAAAUAACCCAUUAGAGCCGCUGCACUCGUCUCAGCCAGCAUGGAAAACAGAGGGAGCUGCCAAACACUUUUGCAAACUCACUCACAGGCCUCUUGAAAAAAAUGAUGACAUGCACUUUAAAAGAGUAAUACUAAAUUUAUAUGAAGAGUUCAGAUGCAAAACCAGCUAGAAGCCAUCUCAGUCAAAAAUGAGAUAAUACUGAGUGAAUGCUCCUGACACAUAGUAUACGUCCAUCAAAUACUUUUACUUCAAACUCGCUAAAUUCCAGCCUCAGCCCAAUCAGAAGUACCAGUACUUAUACCUAUACAAACCUAUACCUAUACAAAGUAGCCAGAAAGAAAUGCUCAUUUUAAAGGAUUUACAGUAGAGGCAUCUGAACUCUUCAUAUAUUAAAGUCAUCAAGAAAUCAAAAGGCACCAGAUUCACUUUCUUAUGGCACAUUGACUGCUCGUCAUUAAAUCUGCAUGUUAAAACUUGCUCUAAAACAAUUUCAUUCUUCCACUGAAGUCAAUCUGAUAAAUCUGUUAAAGCUUAACACGUUUCAGUCUCGCUGUUGCGAAUCCUGAGUCAUGCCAAAUUUGAGCAUAAAACACAACAAGGAGGUACUUUUUCAGGUUGCUGUCCUUCAAAAACCCUGUUUCCCAUCUGCAAACUAACCUGGUCAUGACUUGCCGGUUGAAUUUUUGCACUGUGAAAAGUGAGAUAUUACAGGAGGUCAAACUUUUGACAUUUUUGGGGA